UCAAACUUGGUCAUUUAGAGGAAGUAAAAGUCGUAACAAGGUCUCCGUUGGUGAACCAGCGGAGGGAUCAUUAUAGAGUUAUUCAACUCCCAACCCAUGUGAACUUACCAUUGUUGCCUCGGCGGGCUUACCCGGAGGGACGUACCCGGAGCUUGUUACCCUGUAACGAGCUACCCGGAACGUCCUACCCGGAGCGGCCCGCCGGUGGAUUUCAAACUCUGUUAUUUUUAUGAAUCUGAGCGUCUUAUUCAAUAAGUCAAAACUUUCAACAACGGAUCUCUUGGUUCUGGCAUCGAUGAAGAACGCAGC
rnacentral:misc_RNA from 1 species